rnacentral:rRNA from 1 species
GGGGGGGGGGGGGGGGGGGGGGGGGGCGGGGGGGGCGGGGGGGGGGGCGGGCUGCGGCCUGGCGGCGGGUGGCGGACGGGGGGGGGAGCGAGCGGAGCGUGCCCAGGGGGGGGGGGGGGCGCGGCGGAGGCCGGAUUAAUACCGCAUACGACCUGAGGGUGAACGCGGGGGAUCUUCGGACCUCGCGCUCUUGGAGCGUCCGAUGGCAGAUUAGCUAGUUGGUGGGGUAAAGGCCUACCAAGGCGACGAUCUGUAGCUGGUCUGAGAGGACGACCAGCCACACUGGGACUGAGACACGGCCCAGACUCCUACGGGAGGCAGCAGUGGGGAAUUUUGGACAAUGGGCGAAAGCCUGAUCCAGCAAUGCCGCGUGUGUGAUGAAGGCCUUCGGGUUGUAAAGCACUUUUGGCGGGAACGAAAAGGACUGUGCCAAUACCACGGUUCGAUGACGGUACCCGCAGAAUAAGCACCGGCUAACUACGUG